rnacentral:rRNA from 1 species
CCUACGGGUGGCAGCAGUGAGGAAUAUUGGUCAAUGGGCGCGAGCCUGAACCAGCCAAGUAGCGUGAAGGAUGACUGCCCUACGGGUUGUAAACUUCUUUUAUAAGGGAGUAAAGUGAGGCACGUGUGCCUUUUUGUAUGUACAUUAUGAAUAAGGAUCGGCUAACUACGUGCCAGCAGCCGCGGUAAUACGGAGGAUCCGAGCGUUAUCCGGAUUUAUUGGGUUUAAAGGGAGCGUAGAGGGGUUGUUAAGUCAGUUGUGAAAGUUUGCGGCUCAACCGUAGAAUUGCAAUUGAUACUGGCAGUCUAGAGUACAGUAGAGGUAGGCGGAAUUCGUGGUGUAGCGGUGAAAUGCUUAGAUAUCAGGAAGAACUCCGAUUGCGAAGGCAGCUUACUAGACUGUAACUGACGUUGAGGCUCGAAAGUGUGGGGAUCAAACAGGAUUAGAUACCCGAGUAGUC